rnacentral:lncRNA from 1 species
UGUUUUCCAAGCCUGCUCCUAUUUUGACUUCUUUCUUGUCUACUUCGGUACCCAGAUUUACAAUCUCAACUGACUCCUCGUGCGGCUGUAUAGUCCUCUCUUCCUGCAGUAACAGUCUGGCAAGUUCUCCAGGUACUUCACAAUCUUCCACACUUCCAUCCUCGGCUUGGUAGAUCGGAUUUUCAAAGUCAUAAUGAACAGUAGUAGAACUAUUAUCAACAGGAUCCAGAGUGGGUAUGGAUCUGCAAUUCGUUACGUGAGUGUGUGUAAGAAAACAUAGCUUGUUUGGAAGAUGACAGAAAAGAC